AUGCUUGCCGAGGGCCUGGUCUGGACCCUAUCUUCUGUCUAUGGCCCUCAAGGGGAGCAAGAAAAGCAACUCUUCAUUGAUGAUCUUAGGGGACUGAAGAGCGUGGUGAAGCCUCGGUGGCUCAUCCUCGGUGACUUCAACCUAAUCACCAAGGCGGCUGACAAGAACAAUCAGAACAUCAACAAGCGCCUCAUCGGACGCUUCCGGGCUGCGCUAAACCACCUGCAGCUAAAGGAGAUCCGGCUAUCCGGUCGGAAGUUCACAUGGUCAAAUGCUCAGGAAACCCGAUGCUGA
rnacentral:rRNA from 1 species